UACGAAGGGGGCUAGCGUUGCUCGGAAUCACUGGGCGUAAAGCGCACGUAGGCGGAUUGUUAAGUCAGGGGUGAAAUCCUGGAGCUCAACUCCAGAACUGCCUUUGAUACUGGCGAUCUUGAGUCCGGGAGAGGUGAGUGGAACUCCGAGUGUAGCGGUGAAAUGCGUAGAUAUCUGGAGGAACACCGGUGGCGAAGGCGGCAUCCUGGACCAACACUGACGCUGAGUGAGCGAAAGCCAGGGGAGCAAACGGG
rnacentral:rRNA from 1 species